CACUGCAUAUCUUAGGUGAUA
rnacentral:miRNA from 1 species